CGUUAUGGCAGCUGUACGCGGGAGGUCUUCGGACCUGCCGGGUUUUCCACAUGCCUGGUUUUCCACCCCGUGUACAGCUGCCGCCCAA
rnacentral:antisense_RNA from 1 species